rnacentral:rRNA from 1 species
CCUACGGGAGGCUGCAGUGGGGAAUAUUGGACAAUGGGGGCAACCCUGAUCCAGCCAUGCCGCGUGUGUGAAGAAGGCCCUCGGGUUGUAAAGCACUUUCAGUGAGGAAGAACGCCUGGUGGUUAAUACCCAUCAGGAAAGACAUCACUCACAGAAGAAGCACCGGCUAACUCCGUGCCAGCAGCCGCGGUAAUACGGAGGGUGCGAGCGUUAAUCGGAAUUACUGGGCGUAAAGCGCGCGUAGGUGGCUUGAUAAGCCGGUUGUGAAAGCCCCGGGCUCAACCUGGGAACGGCAUCCGGAACUGUCAAGCUAGAGUGCAGGAGAGGAAGGUAGAAUUCCCGGUGUAGCGGUGAAAUGCGUAGAGAUCGGGAGGAAUACCAGUGGCGAAGGCGACCUUCUGGACUGACACUGACACUGAGGUGCGAAAGCGUGGGUAGCAAACAGGAUUAGAUACCCCUGUAGUC